GGCACCAUGUCUGCUGGCCUGGUGGCCACAGUAGAAUCUCUUUUCUCUUUCUUCUUUAUUCCCUAAAGUCUUAAAGAUAACUAUUUGCACAAGCAAUAUAUGCAAAUAUAUUCUCACUGGAAAGAUUUUUAAAAAUGGAGAAAUAUGGCUGGGUGCAGUGGCUCAUGUCUGUAAUACCAGCACCUUGGGAGUCUGAGAUAGGACGAUUGCUUGAGCCCAGGAGUUUGAGAUCAGCCUGGGCAACAUGGGGAGACCCCAUCUCAACAAAAAAUACAAAAAUUAGCUGGGUGUGGUGGUGUGCACCUGUGGUCCCAGCUACUUGGGAGACUGAGGUGGGAAAAUUGCUUGGGACCAGGAAGUCAAGGUUGCAGUGAGCUGUGAUCACACCACUGCACUCCAGCCUGGGUGACAGGUUUAAACCAGUUUUAAUUGGACUUCCCUCACUUGCAACAAGGGAGACCUGAAUAAUAUUGCUUCUGUCUGCACGUCCAAAUACUUUCAUUUUUCAAGAAGCAAUGUUGUACCAAGGUCAGAACAAAGAAACACUUUAUGCUGAUCCUU
rnacentral:lncRNA from 1 species